rnacentral:ncRNA from 1 species
AGCAACACAGUGAUGGGAAGAAGUAAGCGUCCCGAUUCCCGCCAGAGAGCUGCCGGUUGGUGCAAGGCAGUGGGGAAAAGCGCCGAAAUACCUCCCGGAGUGGCCUUUCUGAACGGUAGUAGGGAAGGACGGGGUUCGCCCGGUACAGCGAGAGGCGUUGCUGGACGCCGUGAGGGCAUUUUUCGUGAGAAAGUGCCGAAUUAGAGGUGGUACCGCGUAUUUUACGCCCUCUAU